rnacentral:misc_RNA from 1 species
AAGACUAUAGACCUGCGGAGUACCUGCGGAGGGAUCAAUACAAAACGGAGGCGUCGGUGUGCGGCCGCGGGAGCUGCGGAUCGCGACACCACGCCACACAGGCCCGGGCCGGUCGGUUGGCCGGUCCGCGACAUUUGCGCAAGUGCAGUCAGACAGAGUGGGUUGGUGUUGGCAAACAACUUUCAGCAAUGGAUCUCU